UACGUAGGGUGCGAGCGUUAAUCGGAAUUACUGGGCGUAAAGGGCGCGUAGGCGGCCUUCUAAGUCGAACGUGAAAUCCCCGGGCUCAACCCGGGAACUGCGUCCGGUACUGGAAGGCUUGAAUCCGGGAGAGGGAUGUGGAAUUCCAGGUGUAGCGGUGAAAUGCGUAGAUAUCUGGAGGAACACCGGUGGCGAAGGCGACAUCCUGGACCGGUAUUGACGCUGAGGCGCGAAAGCCAGGGGAGCAAACGGG
rnacentral:rRNA from 1 species